rnacentral:sRNA from 1 species
UUGAUUCUUUACUUACAUUUGAGACAUAAGAAUCUAGACCACUAGAUCUAGAGUCUAGAUCUAAUUUUGUUCUAGAACUCUAUAAGUUAGUAUAAAUCUAAACUCAGAUUCUAUUAGAUUCCAAGUUGUCUUCUAAAAAGUAAAAUUCAGAAGGGGCUUAUGACUGAAUCAAAUUCAGGCACUACCUGAAACUGUUUAAACAAGAUGUCUACUGAAGUACCAGCCAUCUUAUCUCCAGAUGACAGAUUUAUUUAAAUCUCGUCCAGUACAUUUCACUACAUUGCAACAGCCUGUCUAGAUCCUUGAGACCAUGAUAGAAGCUAGUGAAAUUCCCAAUUCUAAAGAGGCUCUUCUGGUGGACUUGGAUUGUCAAUGUUUCAAAAACUUUCCCCCAAAUCGACUGUUUUUGGAUUGCACAGUUUUUGUAGAAGUAAGGAUUCAGCCAGAGGCGUCACAUUGGUCAUGAAUGGGAUAAACGCUGUUUCUCUUUUUGGCUUGAGUACAAAUACUGCAACCCAAUUUUUUCAAACGGUUUAAGCAUUUUGAGAAUUUCUAUACUUUUAAAAAACUUUUAUUAUAUCAUUUGUAUUGAAAUUAAUUGCCAUUAAAAUGUUUCAGAAUUAUCUGAAAAGAAAAUAGUUGAAUUCUAAACAAUUGUAGUUAAAUAAUAGUCAAUAAUGUAUCAGACAAAACAUUACAUAGUUACAAUAAACUUGUUAUAAUGCAACCCUAUUCCACAUGCUAUCAAACACCAUAUAUAAAUCCAUACACUGCUUACAAAAUUCCAAAAACAAAAUAGUUUGCUUACAAAAUACUGGUACCAAAAUUUGCUCUUACACAGUUACACGAUGGAGUUUCAAUAUAGCUUUAAUUUUUUAAAUCUAAACAAGGCGGACAAAAAAACAUAUCUUAACCAGGGCCGCCUAAAAACAGUCAAUCGAAAGUUUCUUUCAGAAAGAAGCGUGCUUUUCUGCCUGAAGUAAAGAAAGAUGAUGAAAUAGUUUGUGGAAACAAUAGCGGCCUAGUCUUGCCAGUAGCUCUUGAUUGUUAGCCUAUGUCUAUAUCUAUCCUAGCCUGUUACUCUGGCCUAUAUUGAUCCUUUUCUUCUGUGCAAAGCAAGUAUUGCUUACGUCUUUUAAAGGGAUUGGAUGUAAAGGGAGACAAAAAUCCCUGGUAAAAAAAAAAUAUUUUCUGUAGUUGGUCAGGGAAUGUGGAGCCAAGUUCUACAUUUCUUUAAAAAACACACAAAGAUAUACUCGAACAGUUUCCUUGCUCCACCAACAGACACACACACCUCUCUAGAACCACUCUCAGAAUUAAACAUGGACGUUCGUACAACGUUUCAUAUUGUGGGCACACAAGUCAGAGGUCAGUUAGAAAGCUUAACUUCAGACGAUCGGUCGAUAGUUAUUUAUCUGAUUUUAUAACUUUUUUUUAUUGUUGUUACAUCUUGUAAAACCUGAUCACUUGAUUUAUAUCCCAGAGUACUUUCUUCAGGGUGGCUAACAAGACAGUGCAUUGAUAUUACUUACCGUUACACACACCCAAGUUUUAUUCAAUCAGAAACUAUGGGAAC